rnacentral:rRNA from 1 species
AAUGAACGCUGGCGGCAGGCCUAACACAUGCAAGUCGAACGCACCGCAAGGUGAGUGGCAGACGGGUGAGUAACGCGUGGGAACCUUCCCUUUGGUUCAGGAUAGCCCCGGGAAACUGGGAUUAAUACUGGAUAAGAUCUACGGAUGAAAGAUUUAUCGCCGAAGGAUGGGCCCGCGUAAGAUUAGCUAGUUGGUGAGGUAAUGGCUCACCAAGGCUUUGAUCUUUAGCUGGUCUGAGAGGAUGAUCAGCCACACUGGAACUGAGACACGGUCCAGACUCCUACGAGUGGCAGCAGUGAGGAAUAUUGGACAAUGGGCGCAAGCCUGAUCCAGCCAUGCCGCGUGAGUGAUGAAGGCCUUAGGGUUGUAAAACUCUUUUAGUGGGGAAAAUAAUGAUGGUACCCACAGAAAAAGCUCCGGCUAACUUCGUGCCAGCCGCCGCCGUAA